rnacentral:rRNA from 1 species
UACAGAGGUCUCGAGCGUUGUUCGGAUUCAUUGGGCGUAAAGGGUGCGUAGGUGGCGCUGUAAGUCGGGUGUGAAAUCCUGAGGCUUAACCUCGGAACUGCAUUCGAUACUGCGGCGCUUGAGGACUGGAGAGGAGACUGGAAUUCAUGGUGUAGCAGUGAAAUGCGUAGAGAUCAUGAGGAAGACCAGUGGCGAAGGCGGGUCUCUGGACAGUUCCUGACACUGAGGCACGAAGGCCAGGGGAGCGAACGGG